CCUACUGCUAUCGGGGUGGGACUAAGACAUGCGAGUUGAGCGUCUCUAGCUAUGUUGAGACGCGGCAUACGGCUCAGUAACACGUGGUUAACCUACCCUCAGGACAGGGACAAACCCGGGAAACUGGGGCUAAUACCAGAUAGGCGAGGACGCCUGGAAUGGUUCUUCACCCAAAGGACCUUGGAAACAUGCUUCCAAGUCGCCUGGGGAUGGGACCGCGUCCGAUCAGGUUGUUGGUGAGGUAACGGCUCACCAAGCCUAUAACCGGUACGGGCCGUGAGAGCGGUAGCCCGGAGAUGGGCACUGAGACAAGGGCCCAGGCCCUACGGGGCGCAGCAGUCGCGAAAACUCCGCAAUGCACGAAAGUGUGACGGGGCUACCCCGAGUGCCGUCCGCUGAGGACGGCUUUUCCCCGGUGUAACUAGCCGGGGGAAUAAGGAGAGGGCAAGACUGGUGUCAGCCGCCGCGGUAAUACCAGCUCUCCGAGUUGUAGGGAUGAUUAUUGGGCUUAAAGCGUCCGUAGCCGGCUUGGCAAGUCUCCUGUUAAAUUCAGCGACCCAAUCGUUGAGCCGCGGGAGAUACUACUAGGCUAGGAGGCGGGAGAGGUCGACGGUACUUUCGGGGUAGGGGUGAAAUCCUAUAAUCCCGGGAGGACCACCAGUGGCGAAGGCUGUCGACUAGAACGCGCUCGACGGUGAGGGACGAAAGCUGGGGGAGCGAACCGGAUUAGAUACCCGGGUAGUCCCAGCUGUAAACGAUGCGGGCUAGGUGUUGGGGUGGCUACGUGCCACUUCAGUGCCGCAGGGAAGCCAUUAAGCCCGCCGCCUGGGGAGUACGGCCGCAAGGCUGAAACUUAA
rnacentral:rRNA from 1 species